GUUAUUACGGUGAGUCGUUUUCAUACUGGAACCUUAUUGUUAUUGACUUUAUUGCUGGGUGAAUUUCCGUUUCAAAUAAUGAGAAAAUUGCUAUUUUUUAAAACCAAAUUGCCGAGACAUAUUGUGUCAAUCCGUGUCAAUCAUACCGCGUUUUCCAAUCUGUUUUCAUCAUCGUCAAAUCUUUGUAUUUUGGUCUAAAAAUAUUUCGAAUCAGUUUAGACACGCUUAACCUGCGUGGUUAAAGUUGUAUUUUCUCACUCCAAGCAAAAAGAAAUUAAUCAUGACAUGAUAAUUGAGUCUCGUUAAAUAACGUGUUUUGUAAUCUACCGUCAUUCAUCAAAUGUUUCAAUAUUCAAUAUUCUUUAUUUGUAAUCUUUUUAAACCAAUUGAAAGAAAGUCAUGUGAAUACGAUAAUACAGUGAAUUAUUUUGUUUCAUGUCAUAACUUGCACGUGGUUCGGCAAUUGGUGGAUUGCAAGCGGAGAUGAAAAUGGCGCGGCCUGAGCUGUAGCCGUGCAAAGUGACGGCAUUAUGGCAGCACGUUGUAUACCAGCUGGACUUGCUGCGCUGUUGAAGACCUAAACCAUGUCACAAGACCAGUGGUUGAUCUUUUAUCGGAAAUUCUUAUAAGUCCCGGUGAGUCGUAUCUGUUUUACCUGAUUUGAAAUAUGGGAAGUUGUAAUAGGAUACAAACGAAUAUAGUACAGAAAGUUAUCUUUUGUUAACUUUAGUUAAAUUGGGAAUCGUAAUGAAGUGAAGUAAACAUUCUGAAGUAAAAUGAUUUGGAUUAUGAUUAAAUGAAAUAGGCUUAGAAAAUGCCCGAAACAGUAAAUCAUUAGUGAGAAAAUUGGAGCAAAACAUUCUAAAUAAUGAUAAUACCGAAUUGGUAAUUGUUUAAGUGCGGUAAUAUUUCCUCGAGGUGUUGGUCGCUACAUUGCGACUUUAUGACUUGUGUGUGUGAGAGCAGGGUGCUCUGUCGUUUUGUGGUCGUGGACCAUGGUGGCCAUCCCGGGAGGGGAUGUUGUGACUCAUGACUGUUUUGUAGCGUAACCGCAGUUUGGGGAGGAAUAUUACAGCCUGUUGUGCUUUGCAGUAGAUGUGUAAUGUUGGUUGAUUUAAUUGAGCAAUGAAAGCUAUGAUUGACCUGUUUCGGAGCAACUCUGAUAGGAAGCUGCGCACUUGUAGUGUUCGGGGCUGCAGCCACUUUUGUGCUGCUCGUCUUAGAAACUACAGGUAUGCGGUCGAGGCCUGGAUGUCAUGUUGACUUUGUAUUUGGUCAUGACAGUGUACCUGAAUCUAAGUCAAGUUGACCUCCGGUAGAAUUAGUCGAACUGCACAAAUUAGAAAUUAGUGAUAUAAAAGAAAUUUGUAACCCAUGGACCACUAUUCUACCAACUAAAAUGUAAAGUUUGUGUGCUAGCUGUGUUGAGAUAUCGUCACUUGGUGCAAGUGGCAUGAGUUGCUGUCGCUCGAUUUAGUUGGCAGUGACGACUGUGUUGAGAUAUCGUCACUUGGUGUAAGUGGCAUGAGUUGCUACCGCUCGAUUUAGGUGGUAGUGACGCCUGGUUGUGAGAUAUCGUCACUCAGUAGAGUGGCAUGAGUUACUAUCGCUCGUUUAGGUGAUAGUAACGACAGACGUGUAAAGAGUAAUUGGAUUUUCAAGUUUGGUUGUUUAUAGUGUGUGAAUACUGGUCAAUGGUCUAUGUAUUGUAAGUUGAUGAUUUAUCAUGAUGUAAUGUGAGCUCAUGUAGAGUCACGAGUAGAGCUCAUGUAGAGUCACGAGUAGAGCUCAUGUAGAGUCACGAGUAGAGCUCAUGUAGAGUCACGAGUAGAGCUCAUGUAGAGUCACGAGUAGAGCUCAUGUAGAGUCACGAGUAGAGCUCAUGUAGAGUCACGAGUAGAGCUCAUGUAGAGUCACGAGUAAAGCCCAUGUAGUCCCAAGUAGAGCUCGUGCAGAGUCACAAGUAGAGCUCGUGCAGAGUCACAAGUAGAGCUCGUGUAGAGUCACAAGUAGAGCUCGUGUAGAGUCACAAGUAGAGCUCGUGUAGAGUCACAAGUAGAGCUCGUGUAGAGUCACAAGUAGAGCUCGUGUAGAGUCACAAGUAGAGCUCGUGUAGAGUCACAAGUAGAGCUCAUGCAGAGUCCUUUAUAGAGUCUCAUGUUAGGUCAGGAAUGACCGAGCGAACUUGGAUACUGUGCUGUGGUAUAUUGUUUCAGAUUAACACACGAGGACGUGUGUCACGCAGGAUGGCCGUGUCGGAGUUAGUUAUGAAUUAAGAAGAGAAAUUGAUCAAAUCGGAAAAUACAAUGAAGUUGCAACACUUCCAUCAUGAAGUUGCAACGCUCCGACGUCAGGUGGCGUACGAGCAGAGCUGCGUGAAGUCGAGGGAGUCACUACAGAGUCGUCGUGUCGAGCGGACGUGCACUGCCGUUCUAGUCGGGCAGUCUACCGCGAACCAUCGUCUUGAGCGGACGUGUCGAAUAAUUACGAUCGGAACGUGGAGUGCUAUAGUCGCUCACCUAUAACUUGUAGGGACGUUAAGAAAGUGUGAUCGGAAAAGAGUACCUAGCAAGUACGUUCACAUGUCCCGAUGAUUCGGUCCGAAUAUAGGAACCAUGGGUGGUGGAGGGCAAGUAGAGGGCGAGUAGCCCCUUCGCGCUAACGUCCUUAUGCGCGCUAGAUUACGAGAAACUGUGUAACCGUUACGAAUACCGUGACGUUGCCGUGAGUGUGUACCUUAUGCUGUGACUUUAUUUAAUCGUGAUACAAAAACUAUGUGGAAGUAAAUAAAAUGAUUGUGAUACUGA